rnacentral:rRNA from 1 species
UGGCGGACGGGUGAGUAACGCGUGGAAAACCUGCCGUAUACUGGGGGAUAACACUUAGAAAUAGGUGCUAAUACCGCAUAAGCGCACAGCUUCGCAUGAAGCGGUGUGAAAAACUCUGGUGGUAUACGAUGGUUCCGCGUCUGAUUAGCUAGUUGGCGGGGUAGAGGCCCACCAAGGCGACGAUCAGUAGCCGGCCUGAGAGGGUGGACGGCCACAUUGGGACUGAGACACGGCCCAAACUCCUACGGGAGGCAGCAG